GUUGACUAGAUGAAGUUACAGGGAACUGGAGCAGUUCAAUGAGUGAGUGCUAAACCUCUGUUUCUUCUUAAGAGGCACAACCAGAGGCCACUGAUACCUUGACCUUUUGUUUCUUGGAGUACCUAGUGGAAAUAAUGAAGCAAGAAGAUCCAGGAAAAGUCACCUGAUGGGAAAGAAGUCCUUCCCCUGGUCAAAAAUGGCUCAAUUCCAUGGGACACAGUCCUCCACAAACUUCUCUAAUAUGAGUCCUUCCCAUGGGCUACAGUUCUUCACAAACUGCUUCAACAUGGGACCCAACAGGAUCACAAGUCCUACCAGCGAACCUGUUCCAGCGUGGGCUCCUUCUUCCAAGGGUCCAAAAGUCCUGCCAGGAGCCUCCUCCAGUUUGGGCUUCCCACAGGGACACAGUCUUCUUGUGGACAUCCAUCUGCUUCAGCAUGGCUCUCUUCCACAGACUGCAGGUGGAUCUCUGCACCUCACAGGUCCCCAAGGGCUGCAGGGGGACAGCCUGGCAGUUUGCCUCCCCAUGGUCUUCACCACAGUCUGCAGGGCAAUCUCUGCUCCAGCUCCACGUGCUCCAUCUUCACUGACUUUGGUGUCUGCAGAGUUGCUUCUCUUACAUAGUCUUUUCUCUGGCCACAAUUACUUCUGGCAAUAACUUUUUUUCCUUCCUAAAUAAGUUAUUACAGAGGGUCUACUACCUUUGCUGAUUGGCCAUGGCCUUGGCCAGUGGAGGUUCUGUUUUGGAGCCUGCUGGAAUUGGCUCAGUUGGGCAUGGAGGAAGCUUCUAGCAGCUUCUCAUGGAAGCCAUCUGUUGCCUUCUCACCCCCCACCAGAACCUUGCCGUGCAAACUCAGUACAGCAGUUUCUUGGACUGAGGUUGUUCACGUGUCAAAAGGCAUCCUUAACUCUUGUCACUUCUGAAUUAGAGUAGAAAGAGCUCUUCAACAAUCAUGUACAACACAGCCUGAAGAGGUGUUGGUCAUCUGCAGCUCCCACUAGAACCAAAGAAGCAGAUCCUCAGUGUCACUCUGGAUUUUGUUUCUAAGCAAAGAAGAGUUUAGUGAUUUCAGAGUGCAAAUAUCUAAAACUUCUUCUCCUAUGGACUUGAGUCAGUGGUAAACAGUUCUAUUUUGCCACUUUGCCUAUGAUGAAAGUCCUUUAACUUUCUAAUAGAAGACCAGGUGUAAGAGUUCUGUGUGAAUGCUACCACAGGCACUGGGAAAAUAAAAUUAUUUUUGUUUAUUUAACUUAUUUAGUUUUCAGUCUGACAUUUCUCUACUGCACUGAGAGCUAAGAUUCAUUUACAGUAUUAAUGCACUUAAUUAUGUUUUUUCUUUUUGUAGGAAUGAAGAGACUUUAUGGAAUGACUUGAGGUUUUACAAAAUUUUUUAUACUAAAACCAACAAAUUAUUGAGAAAGGAGGAUUUAUUAUAAAAAUUCCCACUAGAAAAAAAAUUAUUGGAGUUUAAGUAUCUGCUAAUUUUGCUUGAGACUUUGGAUUGUCUUUUAUUUGUCCUGAAAUUAUUUUUUUUCCUAUAGAAGCUGAAAAAUCCCCAAGCACUUUAUUUGGCACAAGAAAAAUCCCUCUAUGCAAUCCCCCAAACCCAUUCUCAAAACUCAGAGCCUUAAAUGGGUCUGUGCCAUCUGUUCUGCCUCACUUUGGCAGCUCUGACUUGACAUCUGGCCGUUACAGAACUAAGUGUGAGCUUGUAAUUAGAAUUGGACAGAGAUCUCAGGUUCCUUGUUUUAAUAAAACUUCCCUGUGCUAUAUGAUGUUGCAGAGAUGCUCUCUGAAUAGUGGUAUUCAACAUGCUUGUAUGUUUUUGAUGACUCAUCUAGAGCAUGUAGAAAGAAGCACUUUAUAGUAAUGACUUUUGAUUCACUACUUUCAGUCCUAAUUAGAGCAUGUCUUAAUGAUGACACUGGAGUAAUUUUUGUUGGCUUGGUAAUCUUUCUCUGGAUAAACAGGCUAUAUGACUUCUUCCAUGGGGAGAGUUCUCAGCUAAGGGAUAGCAGGAUUAAUCCCUGAGGAGGUACUGUGUUCAUUUGUGGUACUUAACAUGGUUGGGAGCCUCUAGAGGGCAAACCACAAAGAGUUUGGAGACUGCCAGUGUUAUGAACUGUGAAAUUAAACCCAGUUGCCAAUGGAGAAGGGAGGGGAGAGAAAAAUAAGAACAGGCAGCAAUUGAUUCAAAGAUGAAAUUAGCUGGUAGGACGAUAGGCAAGGAGAAGGUAGAUGUAAGAGGGACCUGAGAACCAAUUAAGGAGUUCUUAAUUUCCUCUUUUUUUUUUCCUAUACCUAUCACUCUUUCUUCAGUCAGGAUUUCUUUUCUGAACACUUUCAGAUACGCUCUUUUCAUUCAUUUGCCCUUGUUCUCCUUUGCUCCAGUAGUGGAAAUCAUUUGGGCAAUAUAUCUUUUCUUCAGGGAAGAGGCAGAAAUUUGGCUUUUUGCUUCAGUUAACAGCUUGAGCUUGGUUCUGCAGGGGAUCUUGAGAGUGAACCUGAGCAGCUGAAUUUGACUAAGAACAUAGAUUAAUGUGCUUCUGCUGCCAUUUAAACCCAUGCUGCUUUAGAAGGUUAAUAAUUUUCAAGAAAUCCUCCCCACUGCCUCAUGCCUCACUCCUCAUGUCCCUGUACUCCUCUUUAGUCAGCGACACUGAAUUUGUAUCUUCUUUAAGGCAAGAAGAUGAUGAUGUUUAUUUUCCUCUGACUUGUUGAUGUUACUUUUAGGAAAAUGGUUCGCUUUUUUUUGUAACAGCCUUUAAUUUAAUACAGACUUGGAUUUGGUUCUAUCUAUUACAGUCUGUUUCCCUGUAUGUUCCUUAUACAGCUCUAAACUUGAAAGAGAGCCAUCAUCUUGACAUUUUAUUUGGGCUAGAUUUUGAAUAAAUGUAAUUAGGCUUUGUCACGCUUUUUUAGACAGUCAACACAAAGUUAUUUCUUUUCUCUUUGAUAUAAAUAGCUCUUUUAGACUGGUUCUCUUUUAAUUACUCUUGAAGAUGUUCAUAUUUUUAUAAGGCUGUAAAUGUCAAGUCUGGAUGAAUCAGACCUAAAAUAUUAGAAAGCAAACUCUCUCCUAAUGUUCUCACUCUGUCCUGAUCCUUGUGAAGUGCCAAGAACUUCCUUGUACGUGCUGAGGUCUCUUACAGCGUUGAAGAUGGGGAGAUCUGAAAUUGCCUGGCACCUUUGAUCACAAUCCCUUACCAAACAGGCUGCUUUGACCCCAAGCAGGCCUGAUCUGUGUCCAAAAGAUGCCAUGAGACUUUUUUGAAGAAUUAAGUAUCUUAUCAUGAUUGAUGUUCUCAUUUUUGAAACACGGAGCCAAAGCCAGGUUGCAUUUCAUGUAUUCUUCCCACAUAACCUUUUUGGAGAUAAAAAUUAAAUUAGCAAGAGCUACCUGUACAGAGUGGUGGCUGCAUAGAGAGGGGUCAGUGGGAGGUACAUGAAAAGAGAACUACAGAGCUGUAGAAGUGUGCUUAGAUAUGUGUACCAAUAACUUCUCCCUCCCAUCUCUGCCUUGAGUUGCACUGUGGGAUGUUAAUCAGAAUUCAUUUUUACUGGGAAAACAGGUGCAGCCAGCUGUGGUAAGUGGGGAAAAGAAGUGGACUAAGGGCUUGAUUUUACGAACCUUCUCAGUUUUCAGUGCUUCAGUAUUACAGUCAGGAGGCAACCUGAACUUUUCACAAAAUCUUUAAUUCUUCUUUCAUCUGUCUCAUUUUUUCCCCAAGCACCAAGAGUUUUAAGACAGGUCUCCUUUUCCUCCUGUCACCUGACUCAUGCUCUGCUGUGGAUAUCUAUAGGGAGAAAACCUGCAGAGCCAUUUUUCUUCCCUAAGCACAUGAUGAUGAAAUCAAUACUAACUCUCUCCUAGCUUCUAUAGGACCAUUCUGGUGUUUCUGGUUUUCUAUGGAAAAAGGGCUUCAGCCUUAUAAAUUGCUGGUUCAGUCAUUUUUAUUGCUUUUCCUCAAGAUUUUCCUUUUGGUUUAGCAGGCAGUGAAAGGCUGGGAAGGUAGAAUUAAGCUGGGGUUCCUUGCUCAAUAGGGGAAAAUAGCAUUUCCUUCUAUUUGCAUCUGUCCUUUCACUCAUACCUGAAAUAUUUUUUCAGCUACCUGACAACUUCAGAAGGUUGAGCUCAUGCAAAGCAGUGAAGAAUGGAGUCAAGAAAUCCAGAUUAGUCUUAACCAAAUUUAUUUUGUAGCUACAUGACUAUUCAUAUAGUCACAUAUUCAGAGUUUAGAUUUCAGCAUUAACUUCCUCUCACUUGUUUCUGCUGUGGCUGCUCCUCUUCCAUAAGUUUAGCAUACUGAGAUAUUUGGCUGGAGGUGUCUCUACCUUUUGGGCCUGUGCUGAUGACCUCAUUGCCUCGUCAGCUGCAGUCUUUGCACAGAUUUCUGAUCACAAAUCUUGUUAAUAUCUGUGCAUCAGCACCUUCCAAUUGCUUGUGUGACAGAAGCUUUUAUGGCCCAGCCUCUGUGGUAGGGUGGUAAGAAAUUGGUCUGUGGGUUUAAUGUGUUGACAUUUUUUCUAAUAUUCACAUUCCCAUAUUGAAAGAGUAAAUUGUUUGCCUUCUCCAUGUUUUCCUAUGCAACUGUGCUUGUCUUUUGUUUUACCAUCUUACAGUGCCAGCUCAGGUUUAAUAUGCUGCUCACGGUAGCUCUUGCCAAACAUUAUUUUUCAGGUGACAGCCAUUCGAUAGCUUUGCUUCACGCUGCAGCUUUUGCAGGUGUUCUAAUAUUCUGUCCAAGGUGACUCAUGUUAUAUUGCAAAUUGUCUUUCUCACUUUAGUAUCCAAAGCAUUUGCAGUUAUUCUUUCCUUUUAGUAGGCCUGCUAUUGUGAUUUACAUUCUAAUCCAUGAGUUCAAUUUUUUUCUAUCAGCAUUAGUAAAUUAUCAGUUUUUCCGGAACCACGGGUACCUCCCACCAGUUCAGGUUAAAUACUCAACAUCAGUUUACUGCUUCGUUUUUUUGUCAAUCCUUCUGCAUGUAUCUGUUAUGAAGGUAAUUUAAUUAAGUUUUUUUGACUAGGAGUUUCAGGAUAUGGUAAGCGUAGUUCAAAAUGGUGAUGUUUGUCACUUCAAAUUACUCUGUUAGGUUUUAAAAGAAAGAAAGAUGACCUGUCUUCAGAGUAACAGGUCUGAACGUGAAUGGGAAUCACAGAAACCUUCUAAAACAUUUGAAUGAACAUUCUUUAUAUAGCUGUUAAAAGAUGCAAUAAAGGGAAUGUGGUUGGUGGAAAAAUUAGAACUCACUUCACAUUGUUAAACUGUUUGGGCACUCGGAGCCAUUAGAUGAAGACAGACUCCAAGAAAUACUGGGAUGAUGGGCAAGAUACCACUAACAUUCAACAGAGCAGAGGUGACACCAGAAAACUUCUCUCCAUAUUGUUCAGCACUUCCUGAUACACUCCCCAUUUUCAGUUUGUAUUUCUAGCUCAGAAUAAUCCUUCUGGCAGAAAGUGCUCAAGAUUUUUGUCUUGUUUCAGUUUGAAUUUUGAAAAUUUUGAAUUCAAAAUUUUCUGCAUGGAAAAAAAAAUUAAAGUGGCAGAAUUUAAAAUAAAUUGUAUUUGUGAUGUUGAAA